rnacentral:rRNA from 1 species
UGGGGAAUAUUGGACAAUGGGCGCAAGCCUGAUCCAGCCAUACCGCGUGGGUGAAGAAGGCCUUCGGGUUGUAAAGCCCUUUUGUUGGGAAAGAAAAGCGCCUGGCUAAUACCUGGGUGUUCUGACGGUACCCAAAGAAUAAGCACCGGCUAACUUCGUGCCAGCAGCCGCGGUAAUACGAAGGGUGCAAGCGUUACUCGGAAUUACUGGGCGUAAAGCGUGCGUAGGUGGUGGUUUAAGUCUGCUGUGAAAGCCCUGGGCUCAACCUGGGAAUUGCAGUGGAUACUGGGUCACUAGAGUGUGGUAGAGGGAUGCGGAAUUUCUGGUGUAGCAGUGAAAUGCGUAGAGAUCAGAAGGAACAUCCGUGGCGAAGGCGGCAUCCUGGGCCAACACUGACACUGAGGCACGAAAGCGUGGGGAGCAAACAGG